GGGGUCCGGAAGUGUUAGGAGCCUCGCGAAGGGUUGGUGUUCAUCUGCUUGCAGAGGAAAGCCAGGUCCAUACCCCUGAACUUCUCAAAUAUUUCCAAUGCUCAUCACUGGGUCUUUUGCAUGGUCAAAAGGGUUGCAGGUGAUUCUUCUGUGUUGUAAAGUUGAAGAGCAGCUUAAUCCACACUUCCUUUUUGGUCUCACUUCUCCCCUUUGUUCCGGUCAAACCCUGACUGCUUCAAAAGGAAAACUGAUCCUCCUGUCCAUGGUCUACCUCGAGGCUGGUGCAAUCAUUUCCGGAAUACGAUCUGGUCACGAGGCUUCCCUGACCCUUUAGAGCUCUCUCUGUGGUAUGACACUCAAGGCCCACAGAAUCCAGAGCCUACUGCCCUGCAGCCACAGGUCCUGCUCUUCUUCCACGGGAUGCCCAGGGCUUCAGUCCCAUUCCUUCAUGUUUCUGCUGGCUGACUUCACUGUAUCCUUUGAGACUUAGCCAAAGCAUUGCCUCCCUUGAAGAAAGGAAACAUCAGGGGUCCUUUCCACGAUGUUUUACCAUGGCGGAUUUAGGUGCCUGUUCGCCCACACGCCCCCUUACUGGACUGUAAGGUUCUCGAGUAGAGGAAUGGUAUCUUUGAUGCCAGGGCAGUAGGAGGAAUUCCGUGAGAGCAGACUACAUAAGCACAAUUUUGCUGCCUGUACUUUUUUUCUAUAGCACAAUUCUAUUGAAAUAUCCUUUCUGGUUUAAAUUAUGGAGAGAAAAUAAAUAAACUAAAAAUGG
ensembl:lncRNA novel transcript